AAACUAGGAUUAGAUACCCUAUUAGAAAUAAUUAAAAUUUAGUAGUAAGUGAAAUUCAUGAAACUUAAAUUAAUUGGCGGCUAUUUAAAUUUUUUAGAGGAAUUUAUUCUGUAAAGGAUCCAACACCAAAAUCUUACUUUUGUUAGUUUACAGUUUGUAUAUCUCUAUAUAAAAAUAUAAUAUUAUAUUUUUUAUUUUAUUUAUUAGCUAGAUUUUAGGUAAAGGUGCAGCUUAUACAAAAGAUUGAAAUAAAUUAUAUUAAUUAUUGUUUAACAAUAUGCUUAUGGUAGAUAGGUAUUUAGUAAAAUUUAAAAGUAAAAUUAAUAGAUUAAGUUAAUUUGAAUAUUAAUUUAAUUGUGUACAUAUUGCCCGUCACUCUCUUAUUAGAGAUAAGUCGUAACAUAGUA
rnacentral:rRNA from 1 species